CUUCCUCGGUGAACGCAGGGGCGACUCCCAAGGGGAUUCUGAAGCUGAUGGAGUCGGAAGGGCUGACCAUCUGCCAUGUCAAGAGCCAUCUGCAGGUAAUCCUGCAGAGAACACGAACGACGAUAUCUCUGCGUCUGCAAAAGAGCUCGAAUCAUCGUUUCAUCUCAUCAUCCACAGAAGUAUCGGGCUGCCAAGAACAUACCGGACCCCCAAGAAUGCGCCUCUUCUUCCCUUCGUGUUGCAGGUGGAAGUAAAGGCGAAGGAGGCUCCUUCGGUCGUC
rnacentral:lncRNA from 1 species